CCUACGGGAGGCUGCAGUGGGGAAUAUUGGACAAUGGGGGCAACCCUGAUCCAGCCAUGCCGCGUGUGUGAAGAAGGCCCUCGGGUUGUAAAGCACUUUCAGUGAGGAAGAACGCCUGGUGGUUAAUACCCAUCAGGAAAGACAUCACUCACAGAAGAAGCACCGGCUAACUCCGUGCCAGCAGCCGCGGCAAUACGGAGGGUGCGAGCGUUAAUCGGAAUUACUGGGCGUAAAGCGCGCGUAGGUGGCUUGAUAAGCCGGUUGUGAAAGCCCCGGGCUCAACCUGGGAACGGCAUCCGGAACUGUCAAGCUAGAGUGCAGGAGAGGAAGGUAGAAUUCCCGGUGUAGCGGUGAAAUGCGUAGAGAUCGGGAGGAAUACCAGUGGCGAAGGCGGCCUUCUGGACUGACACUGACACUGAGGUGCGAAAGCGUGGGUAGCAAACAGGAUUAGAUACCCUAGUAGUC
rnacentral:rRNA from 1 species